rnacentral:rRNA from 1 species
AUUGAACGCUGGCGGCGUGCUUAACACAUGCAAGUCGAUCGGUAACGCGGGGGCAACCCUGGCGACGAGAGGCGGACGGGUGAGGAACGCUUGGGAAUCUGCCCUUCAGCGGGGGACAACACGGGGAAACUCGUGCUAAUACCGCAUACGCCCCACGGAGGAAAGCCGGGGACCGCAAGGCCUGGCACUGAAGGAUGAGCCCAAGCCGGAUUAGCUAGUUGGCGGGGUAACGGCCCACCAAGGCGACGAUCCGUAGCUGGUCUGAGAGGACGAUCAGCCACACUGGGACUGAGACACGGCCCAGACUCCUACGGGAGGCAGCAGUGGGGAAUAUUGGACAAUGGGCGAAAGCCUGAUCCAGCGACGCCGCGUGGGUGAAGAAGGCCUGCGGGUUGUAAAGCCCUUUCGGUAGGGACGAAAGCUUCCGACCUAACACGUCGGGAGGUUGACUUAACCUACAAAAGAAGCACCGGCUAACUCUGUGCCAGCAGCCGCCGCCGUAA